rnacentral:rRNA from 1 species
ACCAUCCUAAGGUAGCGAAAUUCCUUGUCGGGUAAGUUCCGACCUGCACGAAUGGAGUAACGACUUCCCUACUGUCUCAACCAUGAACUCGGUGAAAUUGCAGUACGAGUAAAGAUGCUCGUUUCGCGCAGCAGGACGGAAAGACCCCGUGACCUUUACUAUAGUUUGGUAUUGGUGUUUGGGUUGGCUUGUGUAGGAUAGGUGGGAGACUGUGAAGCUGUCACGCUAGUGGUGGUGGAGUCGUUGUUGAAAUACCACUCUGGUCAAUCUGGAUGUCUAACUUCGGGCCAUGAUCUGGUUCAGGGACAGUGCCUGAUGGGUAGUUUAACUGGGGCGGUUGCCUCCUAAAGUGUAACGGAGGCGCCCAAAGGUUCCCUCAGCCUGGUUGGCAAUCAGGUGUUGAGUGUAAGUGCACAAGGGAGCUUGACUGUGAGAGUGGCGACUCGAGCAGGGACGAAAGUCGGGACUAGUGAUCCGGCAGUGGCUUGUGGAAGCGCUGUCGCUCAACGGAUAAAAGGUACCUCGGGGAUAACAGGCUGAUCUUGCCCAAGAGUCCAUAUCGACGGCAUGGUUUGGCACCUCGAUGUCGGCUCGUCGCAUCCUGGGGCUGGAGUCGGUCCCAAGGGUUGGGCUGUUCGCCCAUUAAAGCGGUACGCGAGCUGGGUUCAGAACGUCGUGAGACAGUUCGGUCCCUAUCCGCUGCGCGCGUUGGAGAAUUGAGAAAGGCUGUCCUUAGUACGAGAGGACCGGGACGGACGAACCUCUGGUAUGUCAGUUGUACCGCCAGGUGCAUGGCUGAUUGGCUACGUUCGGGAGGGAUAACCGCUGAAGGCAUCUAAGCGGGAAGCCUGUUUCGAGAUGAGUUCUCCUGGCACCUUUUGGGGUGUGUGAGGCUCCUUAGAGAUGAUGAGGUUGAUAGGCCGGGUAUGGAAGCGUUGUAAGGCGUGGAGUUGACUGGUACUAAUAGGCUGAAGACUUAUUCAC